ensembl:lncRNA
AGUUUCUAUGACACAUGAAAUGUGGAUUUAACAUGAAAAGGAAGUAACUUGAUAAAACAAUUCUAUUAAAUCUAAUGUUCUCUAUAGCAUUUGAGCACAAAGGUAGAAAUGAAUACUUUUAACUUGCAAGUCACUUAACUUUGGAGUGUGAAUAUUAAUGAAGAGGGGAAGUUUAUAAGUCUUGAUGAUGAAAUGCAUCAUUUUCAUCUGUGAAAUGGAAUGUUAGGAAGGGUAGCACUCUCUGGUGUGGGAAACAUGUUCAGCUUGCUAGGAAUAAACUCCUUCACAGGUAAGAAAUGUAACAAACAUUUUGGGCUGCACUGAGUAAAAGGAACUUUUAUUUGACCUUGUCUUCUUCAACCUCCAGGCAAAGCAAUACAUGUCUUUAGAUCUAAGCCAGCUCUUUAGAAGAGGCUUAUUCCUGCAUGUGCUUUUCUUCCCUGACAAGAAGCUGAAACAGCCAGUGUGUGUGGAGCCAUAAUGCACUGCAGCUGACUGCAAUAGGAGACAUACUCAGAAUACUCUAGGGCUCCCUGUGUGUUGAGGUUUGCUGUGAACAAUAUCAAAACAUUAAAUUACGUUAGAUAUUACAAUAGUGGCUGCCUUGCUGUAAUGGUUUUGCAGUGCUCACAGCCUUCCCCUCACCCCCAGCUCAUUACUUCUUGCAUCAGUAAGAUGAAAUGAUUAGUUCUCAGAAUGGAGAAUUAUAUUGGUCUUUGGCUCUUUGGUGAUGUUGUAUGCAGAUUAAAAUUAUUUUUAAAGUUUCACAGCACCUUGUAGAAACCUGGUGUUUGUUCAGCUGGCAGCACGAAUGUUUCAGAUUUCUGCUGUGCAUACUGCAGAUAAUAUCAGCUGAAGCAAAGCUCUUAUGCUUCUGUGACAACAACUCUUGAUCAAAGGGCAUUCAGAGUCGUGUGGUUUUUUCUUUGUUUUCUUUAAAGGGAGGAAAAAAAAGGUGUGAUAACAAAAACAUCACUGACCUGUAUAAGAUUUGGGUGUCUGAAGUUCAGAGAUUGUUCUGUUUUUAUUUAUUUUACAAGGGAGGUGAAUGUAGGGAAAAAGACUGAGGAACCUCAGGAGAAAUCAAGGAGACUGAUGGAUCAAACACUGAAAUUUAAACACUUACAGACCAG